rnacentral:rRNA from 1 species
ACUGAACAUCUAAGUAAGCGGAGGAAAAGAAAAUAAUAAUGAUUCCCCAAGUAGUGGCGAGCGAACGGGGAAUAGCCCAAACCUAUUAUGUUACGGCAUAAUAGGGGUUGUAGGACUACAAUGUGAAUAUAAUUGCUAAGAAGAAGCUUCUGGAAAGUUGCGCCAUAGCGGGUGAUAGCCCCGUAUUCGUAAACAAUUAUGUUCUAGUAGGAUCCUGAGUACCACGGAGUCGGUGAAGCUUUGUGGGAAACUGCCAGCACCAUCUGGUAAGGCUAAAUACUCCUGAGAGACCGAUAGUGAACUAGUACCGCGAGGGAAAGGUGAAAAGUAUCUCGAAUAGAGAGGUGAAAAGAACCUGAAACCGUGCGCCUACAAGCGGUCGGAGUCCCAAUUUAUUGGGAUGACGGCGUGCCUUUUGCAUAAUGAGCCUACGAGUUACUCCUCACUGGCAAGGUUAACCACGACAACGUGGGCAGCCGAAGCGAAAGCGAGUCUUAACAGGGCGAAUAGUCAGUGGGGGUAGACGCGAAACUUUGUGAUCUACCCUUGGUCAGGUUGAAGUUGCAGUAACAUGCAAUGGAGGACCGAACCAUUAAACGUUGAAAAGUUUUUGGAUGAACUGAGGGUAGGGGUGAAAGGCCUAUCAAACUAAGAGAUAGCUCGUACUCCCCGAAAUGUUUUUAGGAACAGCCUCGUGUAAUUGUGUGUUAGAGGUAGAGCUACGA